GCAGCUCUGAUAGUAGGUAAUGUACAUCGUUUCGAAAAGCAAAUGCAUUUUUGCAGAAAACGUGUACAACCCUCAUUCGUAAUGUGUCAAGUCACUGUAGUAGUAAAUGAUGUAAAUAACUGAGAAUAGAACAAUUAACUGGCACACGAGCAUUGUGGGUAUUAUCGAUCGGUGGAUUUUACGCCAUCUCUAGGAACAAUCCGUUGCUUCGGGAAACGGAGCAGGAGCCACAAUAUCCACCACAACGAGCUCGUACCUUCUUGUAUGGUGGAGCCAGCUGAAAAUAAGACAACAUUUGGUUUGAUCAAUUUGGCAAUUCAAGAAAACAACACACUGCUUACCGGUAUUAGGAAAUGUAUCACCGCGUUCUGUCCCUUCGUUUCCCAUUCUGUGUGUGGCCGUAUUCUGAACGGUGUGUUCUCAAGGUUGAUGGAAAAAUCUCCCUGUGGACACUUACCGGUGUUGCUGUAGCAGUCACCCGCUGAGCCGUACCCUUGCGGUGUUCCGGAACGAUCGGUGAAUCGAUGGUCAUCCUCUAUGACCUUAAGCGUAUGUAUGUUCAGUCGAAUCUUCCGAUAGUGUGUCGCCCCAUAGAUGAUGCUGUUAUCAACCCAGUCCUCCGACGAUUGGGAGCAAAAUCCAGCAUUAGCUGCUCGUUUGUUGAUAUAGAUAGCGUAGUUUUCCACGAUACCUAUGGACGAGGAAUAAGAAGCCCGACGGAGCAGGACUCAAAUCCAGACCAUUCCCACAGAAGGAUCAGUUGUAAAUAAACCGAUUAUGUCCCGUGAGGUAAACUCGUUCAAGGAGACACAUACGAUCCAGCAGCGAGCUGGCAGUGGAAGAAAAGCGAAAACGACCGACUCCGUGAAGGCAAGGAAGGUAAGAUAUUACUUCAAACGUAAUUAAAAUCCUUCGCUUCGAGACGUGACCAAGCAGGCCAAUUCAUCCGUCUGGUUCGUCCAGCAGACAAUGAAGCGGGUCGGGCUUCAUGUCUUCAAGGUAAGCAAGGCGCCUAACCGAACCGAUAGACAGAAUAAGGUGGCCCAAGCGCCAGGAAGCUGUACCGCGAGUGGUUGGUGCAGCAGGAACGCAUCGCAAUGGACGACGAGACGUACAUUCAAACGGACGCCAAGCAGAUCCCCUGCCUGGAGUUUUUCAUUGGCAAGUCCCAUCUGGAUUUUCCUGGGAGAAGGUUGACAAAUUUGGCAAGAAGCACAAGAAGUAAGUACAAGUAUGUAAGUAAGUACAAGAAGUGGUGCGGUAGCUGUUCUGUGGGUGCGACAAAUUCAGCAAGCCGUACAUAACGACCGGCACCAUUAACGGUCAAAUGUAUAAAGAAGAAUGCCUCCAGAAGCGUCUGCUGCCCUUUCUCCGGUCGCACGAAGGUGACACUCUAUUUUGGCUGGAUCUGGCAUUGUGGCAUUAUGCAAAACCGGCGAUGGAGUGGUACGAAGCCAACGAUGUUGUUUUGUAUCGAAGGAGGCAAAUCCGUCAAUCUCGCCAGAACUUCGCCCAAUAGAAAAAUUUUGGACGAUUAUUUAACAGUUCAGCUGAAAAGUUUAUAAGGUAACACAGUAAAACUAUUUUUUUUUUGCAAAAUUCAAUUCUAUUGUUCAACAUAAUUGUCUUCGAGGGCGAUACAGCGAUUAUAGCGAUCUUGCAACUUGAUAUAAUUUUUAUAGUACUCUUUCGGUUUUUUCCUUAAAAUAGCCCUCAUUUUCGGUAAUCACUUUAUCAUUGGUCUUAAAUUUCAUGCCAGUGAGCAUUCUCUUCAGGUCUGCGAUCUGGAAAAUAUGGUGGAUGCGGAAGCAAUUCGAAGUCCAAUUCAUGCAGUUUUGCCAUCGUUUUCAUUGAUUUGUGAUUUUUCCAUUUUUUCACUAUAACAAAAGUCGUUUCACUCUCAAUGCUGUAACUAACGAACCAACCGACCGAUUGCUGUCAAAUUUUGACACGUAUCCAGGGUUACCAAAUCUACAGAAUAAUCUGUAUUUAUACAGAUUUUUCAGACUUUCUGAAAUCAAGAAUCUGUAGAUACAGAUUGUUUUGGUUUUCAUACACAUUUACAGAUUUUUCAAAAUAACGAUCUAAUAUUAGUUAUGGCUUGAUCUCAAUAAUAUUUUUCCCAACUUACCAAUUUUAUUCAUAUAGCAUACGAAACAGUCUGAAUGAGAGUCAUUUUGGCAUUCGUAUGUGUAUUGUAGUACCGCUUUCUCAUUUUCAAUCUAUGGUGAAAAGAUGCAAAAUUCUGCGUCAGCCGCCAGCUUUAGAAUAAAUAAAUAACACUGUUUAUCUUCUUCCUACUGAAGCACAGUGAAUACGAAUUUUUAAGGUGGAUACUAUCAACAUCGUCAAAUUCAUAAUAACUAUUCCAAUCAAUGAUACUAAAGUUGAGAUUAUGUUUCAAGGUUGAACUUAUAAAUCCCUUUGCGGUUGUAUUAAAUUUCGACGUGUGUGGUACUGGACGCAAUUUGUUUACAUGAUAAAGCAGUGAUGUUUAACUUUGUGAGAUUCUGAAGGAUGAACAAGGUUCCUUUAUUUUUUGUGAACUUCAGAUUAGUUUUUACUAAUAUAGAAAAAAAUAGAAAAUAUAGAAAUAACGAAAAAUGUUAAAUAAAUAAUUAACGAUCGCGAUUGAAGUGAUUAAAUGUUUUGUUGUCAGCACCGUUUUUGCAACGAUUUUUGCUCCGUGAUUUGCACCGUAUUUCUAUACCUGUUUUACACUGUGCUUGAAUCUGGUUUGUUUUCUCUGUUGAGUUAUUUUUGGUUGGUAUGGAGGCGCGCUGUUGUUUUUAUGCUUUGCUUAGAACCAAGGCGCCUAGAAGAAUUUCCUAAGGUGGGCCAACUUACUAAAACCACUCUUCAGCCAUCUUGGAAGUCUACUGUGUUUUGUUUGUAAACAAAACACAAUACGCUUGUGCAAAAGCUCGCUCGUGAUCAGUCUGUCUCUUUCACGCUUCAAGCAAAUAAUUCCCCUUCUGCUUUCUUCCGUACUGUUUUCAUAUACCGCUCCCAUAAUCAACUUAGUGACGAAACGGCCUCACCUUACGAUAUACUUCUAGGCGCCUUGCUUAGAACGAGCGAAGACAAAACAGGCGCUAGAAUUUGAUGUGUGUGUGUGUGUAUAAAAUAAGGCGUGCAUCACAAAAGCGAUGUUUAGUAUCUGAAUUCUGCGCUGUGUUCAUUCGGCGCCCUCGUGUUUAUGAAUUUGGUACCAUACCAAGAGAGAAUACGUGUUUGUUAUGAACGCGCGCUAAUGAAAAUUACACUCAAGUGCAACGCAGCGUAUGUUCUCUGGAGACUGGCGGCGAGCAAAAAAACGCGCCAGACUGUUGUCGUACAAGAAGGAAAAACUCCGAAUCUCGACGACAGGCAGUCGUUGCGGUCAGUUGCGGUUGCGGUUGCGGAUAGUUGCGGUCGUUGUGACCGCAAUGCUAACACAAGCACUCUACAACGCGGCGGCGGUGUUUUGGUCGCUGUUAAAUUCGAUCUUCGUUGUAGUGCAGUUACGUUAACAAGCUGUACUCUUCUCGAACAAAUGACCGUUUCUAUCCGUUUUCCAGGGACAACUAUUUACGUCUGCGGUAUUUACAUACGUCCGACCUCUCAUCCUGACGUUUAUAAAUCGCGCGCAGCUGCUGUUCAAGAGAUUUGUGACCUAUCCUCAGUAUACGAUGUCAUUGUUGCACUUGGCUACAAUCUCCCACAUCUGUCAUGGUGUUUCGACGAAGACUGCAACAGUAACCUGCCAGGUAACGCUUUCACCGAAUCAGAAAUUGCGUUUGCAGAAUCCAUGCCCACAUCUGGACUUCACCAAAUGACGUAGCUGCCGUUUUGAAAAAACUUGACGCUUUCAAAGGUGCCGGUACAAGUUUUCUACCUCCAGCAUUUCUCAAGGAAGGUGCUGAUACGUUAAAAACUCCGAUCAGCAUAACCUUCAACCUGCGCAUGUGGAAGAUGGUAUCGAUCACUCCAAUCCAUAAGUCUGGUAGUGUUCACACCAUUAGCAACUACCGAGGAAUUUCGAUGCUAUGCUGCAUCGCCAAGGUUUUUGAAGAACUCGUCCACGGGAAUCUAUUCAAUGCUGUUCGUCCACUCAUAACUGAUGCUCAACACGGUUUCGCGAAGAAAACCGUUUCUAAUCUGAUGAGCUAUAUGAGUGUUUUGUCAGAAACCGUAGAAAGUCGCAGUCAGGUAGAUACUAUCUACUUUGAUUUCUCUAAAGCUUUUGAUAAAGUUCCUCACGAACUGGCUAUCGAGAAACUUAAAUAUAUUGGACUUCCAGAUUGGAUAACUGAGUUGCUCAGAUCGUACCUAACCGACAGAAAAGCUUUCGUGAAAGUUGGAAGUGCUCGUUCCCGUUCAUACCGUAUUACAUCCGGCGUCCCACAAGGCAGCGUUCUUGGGCCGUUGAUAUUUAUUCUCUUCGUCAAUGAUCUCGCCAGCCUGCUGAAAUCUGGUGAGCUUUUGUACGCUGAUGACAUAAAAAUAUUUAGAGAAAUCACUUCCAUUCUGGACUGCUGUGCUUUACAAGCCGACGCGAGUGAAUUGAUUGCAUGGUGUGCUGAUAACGGCAUGUAGCUAAACAUCAGCAAGUGCAAGACAAUAGCCUUUACGAGGCGUCAAUCGUUUGUAUCUCAUGACUACGUUAUUUGCUCUGCUAUUAUCGAUCGCGUUAACUCCAUCAGAGAUCUCGGCGUUAUUGAAGUUUACCGAACACAAGAACACCGUCAUCGGAAAAGGAUACGCUGUCUUAGGGUUUAUCCGACGGAACUCGCAGUCCUUCCGAGACCCGUACACGCUGAAGGCUUUGUACACCUCAAUGGUACUAAGUGUCUCUGAAUACGCAGCAUGCGUGUGGGCUCCCUACCAUACAACGCAUAUCGCUAGGAUUGAAAAAGUGCAACGCUGUUUUAUCCGCUACGUCUUAAGGCAACUGCCAUGGAAUGACCUCACUCAUCUUCCUGAUUACGAGACUCGCUGUAUGCUCAUCGACUUGGAAACUUUGUCGGCAAGGAGGACGAAAAUUCAACGUUUGUUUGUCUUCGAUAUGUUGUUCGGAAACAUCGACUGUGCGCUGUUAAUCAAUGAGAUACGUUUCUAUGCUCCCACCAGACAGCUGCGCGAAAGACAACUAUUGGCGAUACGACCACAUAGAACCUCGUUUGGCCUAUUGGCGAUACGACCACAUAGAACCUCGUACGGGCAGAACUGUGGCCAGCUGCUUCCGUGCAUUCAACGAAGUUGGAUAUCACUUCGAUUUUAAUAUGUCUAAAUGUGUCUUUAAACGUGGAAUUAGGAAUAUUAGGUAGUUUAUAUGAUUUGUCAGUCUGUGAGAUCUGUCUAAGACGAAGUAAAGUAAAGAAACACGCUGACCAAACGACGAUCCCGGAUGUUGUAUACGGAGCUACUCAGUUCGAUUGCAUCGUUAUGGACGACGAAACGCACGUAAUAUCGGACUUCAAGCAGAUUCAGGGUCAGGAUUUUUACAUGGCGACGGAAAAAGGGGAAGGUGACAGACAUCUUGAAGACCAUAAAACUGUUCAUGUUCCCGAAAAAAUGUAUACCUAGUUUGAAAUAUACGUUGUCUGCUCCCUUUCGUCAACAAACACAACAAACCCGUUCUGUUUUGGCCGGAUUAGGCAACCUUCCAUUAUGGGAAGAAGGCGAUAAGGUGGCGGUGUCCAAAAGAUCAUAACUCACCCUCAUCAAGCGUAACUAGAAGAAGACGCAAAAUAGGCUCAUUAUAAUGCAAAUUUACUCACCCGAUUUCAACGUUAGAUAUUCAGUUGGGUUGUUGGACGUCAUAUUGUGACAGUAGAUGCUCACGGGUCUUCCCUUGAUAUUCAGCGUAUACUCUCCGUCCUGGCGGAUUCUUCUGCUCCUCUGUAUAUCCUGGCAGGUGUAGCUAAUGGACUUGCUGUACCGGGGUCUACAGUCUGGAGCUGGUGUGCAUUUCUUCUUCUGCAUAGGUCGCGGCUCCGGGCACCGAUUGGAUUCCGUCUUCGUCAGCUCGUCAUAACAUUUCACGUUGCGGCGUUGGAAGCCAUCACAUUUGCACUGGAAGGUGAAAGACUACAUUAGUCGCUGACAAAAGAAGCACUUUUCAAGAAUGUUGGAUAACUUUUCCGCGGUAGAGCAUUUCGACGCAAUGGGACGCAAUUAAAGUGACAUAAAAGUUGAACAUACUCUGUUCCAUCUGGCGGUGCUCCAGCGGCAAAAACUGUGCGUUUCGCACGGUUUCACGUUGGACGGCUUGUGUUUGACAUCGCAAACACUGGCAAUGGUUCGACCAUUACUACAGGUCACAUUGCGAGUCGCCAAUCCGGUUCCACAACCAACCGAACACUGUGGAGUGGUUGAGCCGGAUCGUGGGGAUAGAUACAAUCACACACGUAGAAGACAGCAAUAGCAGCACCAGCGCAGUACAGUAGCAUCAGCAGGACGGUCAGGAUGAAGACAUUUACGCACACGCGGUAUAGAGUAUGUGACAAGAUAGAUGAUUUGGUUCGUGUGGUUAGCGGGUGAUUACGGAUAGCAUAAAAACAUACGAGAGACAAACAGAAAUACAUUAAAAACAGGGCUCAUUGUUUUACCGAUGGGGAAACAAAACAUGUAAAAAGGACAUUGACGAGUAGCCCACCUUCGACCACGGAGAUACCUCCCAUCGGAAUUGGCAGGGUUUGCACUUGCGCACCAGCUUUUUAGCCGGUGGAGUUUUCACGUGGGCACAGUGCUUGGCAUCAACCUUCCGACCGGUCUUCACCGGAUGCGGGUUCUCGGUAGAUUUCGGAAACAGACGCAUACAGACACGCUCGCCGGUACGGUAACCAUCACCACCACCGCACGUCACAUUACACUGAAAAGCGGUUACAGAGAAAGAGAUACGAGAACAAGGAGAGUGGUAAGAGAAAGUGGUAAGCGUUAUCAAUGCACUGAUUGUAUGUGAUAUGGAACUGUGAGUGGAACGCGAGAGGGAUAAUUACAGGCUUCCAGUUAGUAAUCCUCCACUUGAAAUGGCAACACGACUCCACCUCGGGCGGUUUCUGGUUCAAAGGGCAUUCGUUACUUUCCUUGCCACGAUGAUCUUGGCAUAGCACCUGACGGUAGCGUUUGCAAUCAUCAUUGCACUAAAACGAGAGAAAAACAAAAAAGUUGGGGAAUUUCUUAACAUUCCAUAGAAUUGACAGGAUUAAUAUUCGUGUAUGGUAACAUUUGGACACGAGUGUCGCAAUUUUGAAGACUGUUUGUGAUUUUUGUCAAAUUAUAAGUUUAAUACGGGUCUAGUUUUUAACUAAUUUGAAAUUUGGAACAAUACAAGUCAAUUGAAUCAACUUUGAAGCCAAUUGUUUAUUCGGGUCAAGAGAUUUAAUGUGUGUGUAUGUGCGUUUUUUUCUAGUGAAUAUGUUAGAUGUGUAGAAUAUCUCCGCAAAUGACAGUAAAUUUGCAAGCAAUUGUAGUUUUGUUCAAAAGACAUAUUUAGCGCUUUUAGCUGUAUUAGCAAGGAAUAUCGACAGAUACACACAAAAGUGAUCAAUGGAAAGACAGUUUGUGGUACCUACCUCACCCCACUGACCAAAGUUCCACUGGGGACAACGGAAGUUGCCACAGUUGGUUUGCGCCGAGGGUUUCUUAUCGUGUUGGCAGUACAGGUCAUCCACAACGACAGACUCGUUGUACUUGAAGCAGCAUUGAACCUUCCGCUGUUUAACGCCUCCAUUGCACUUGGCGUUGCAGAUGCUCCAGACACUGGUGCACCAUUUGUAUGGCUGGGUGGUGGUAUUUUGAUAGCUCACGUCCAUGUGUGUGGCAGAAUAAUAGUUGCUGUCGAGUCGAGAAAUUGGCUUGGUUUCCUCCCCCGAGUACGCGUAGGCAGGAGGGUCUUGCUAAACGUGGUACGUAGAAGUAGAUGGAAAAUUAGACAAUUCUGUCGGGGAAAAGUACAACGCUUUUCUAAAGUCAUCGAAAUAAACCGAAUGGUACCGAAAUCGAACACAAAUAAAAGUAGCACAUGAAGCGUAAAGAUUUUGAGGGGUUAUGUCUAAUUUGUUUGAACGAACAAGUAAAAUAAAGUACCUUCUUCUCACAAGGUGGCAUGGUACAGUUGACGAUUACUGCCACCGGACGGGUGCCACAUAAAGCUGCGUUAACGCUAACAUUGUUUAGUACACAGUGGAUAGCAUACCGUUGCUGGCCCUCUCCACAGGUCACCGAACACUGGACGGUGGAAACGACAUAUGAAAGCGGGAGAGUUUUUGAAAUUAGGGGAAGACAUGAGUGGAAGAGAAUGAUGACACAUGAUGAAAUAAUCGUUCAAUAGCUAUUGCUCAUAGGAAGGGAAGAAAGUGCAACUAAGGAAAAUGGUUGGACAUAAGUUAUGUGACCUAAUGAUUUGGAACUUUCAGUUGUUGUUGAUAAAUUCAACUUUCUAGCCAAGUAUAUUAUUAGUUAUCAAUAAAUUACAGUGUUUUCAAGAAGAAAAGUUACGGCACUACAAAUAAUAUAUACAAGCGAAGUGACUACUAUGUCAACAAUGGGGUCGUGACUUAUACAUCACUCUCUAUAAUUUUCAAUAUGUUUUCAUAGAAUGGUAAUUGCUGAUGAGUCAAACCAUAUACCGUUGAUUGAAAUUAGAGCUGCAGUGGGCGAUGUAGGACUUCUCAUUUCACCGUUAACGGCAAGUUUUGCAACAUGGAAUCGAGAUUUGUCAUGCACGAAAUAACUUUAUCAUGUCUCAAGUUGCGUUUAGAGAUGUACCAUCCGCUCAUGAGCUGUUAAAAUGACUCUCUUCAUCAUAAUGAGCGGAUUCGGAUCAGAUCGCAAUUGAAAAAACAGGAAGUGGGUUAUAUCUAUGGUAUAACCGCAAGGGUGACGUAGGACUAUCGUUGAUUUAGAGAUCAUUUGUAUGAAGUUGAAUCUGAAUUCAUUCUGAAUGAAUGAAUAUUUGGAGAACUUCGAAAACGAGAGCGUUACGUUGGAGGCACAAGGUUUUAUGCAUCCAAUAUUGGAUACGGAAAUAUCCUACUGAUGGGGAAGAAUAAUCUUCAGAAGCUAUCCUGUUGAUUGCGAUUGAUUGAAAAAUCACAAAACCUAAUGUAUUUGGUCACAGUGUUACAUGGAUAGAAAACAUUCAAAUAAACUCUUUCACAUGAAUGUAAUUUUAAAUUCCCAGAGGAACUGGCAGAUUCUUUUCAGUAACGAUUAAAUAUUUCCACAUUUUCCUCGAUACUGGAAGCCCACCAGUGGUUAAUGCUAACUCGAUAACCAUCUGUUAAUAGCACUUGAUUGAAACAUAUUUGGUCACAGUGUUACAUGGAUAGAAAACAUUCAAAUAAACUCUUUCACAUGAAUGUAUUUUUAAAUUCCUAGAGGAACUGGCAGAUUAUUUUCCGGAUCUUUCUCGAUCCAAACGGAAAGAAUUCCGUGCAUGUAUGUGUGUGUGUGUGUGUAGCGGCUGCUUCGAGAUCUUCCCGGGGAACCGUUUGUAGCAUCACUCUCCUCCUGAUGGAUUCCCUUCUGGCCUAAGGUGCACAAACAGGCUCUUGGUGACACCGUUCAUCCGCGCUUUCAUGAUAAAUGAAGAGCUUCACCACAACAGCGACAACAUGCUCCAAUCGCUGUUCAAUUAGAACUGAGUGGAUUUCCGAGCGGCGCUCGCUUAUAUACCGAUUGGUGAUUGCAAAUUGAAAGCAAAUUUAAGACUAUUGAAACAAGUUUUUGGAUCAGAAAGUAACAAGUAUAGAACGCGUAGACAUUUUAUCUUUCGAAUGAAGUGUUUAUCAUACCAUUUCGUUCAGCUGUUUAGGAGCUAUUAACACUCAAAAUCUCGGUCUCCGGCGUAACGCUUUCGUUUUCGAAACUUUGAUUUUACACCACGGUAUAGAAAUGAAAGACGUAGUCCUACGUCAAAAACGCAGUAUGAGCUGAAGAGCUGAAUAGCUAGCUGAAGGGCUGAAUAGCUGAAGAGCUGCGGAGUAGAAGAGCUAAAGAGCUGAGGGACAUGAAUAGUUGCGAAGCUGAGGAGCUGAAAAGCUGAAGAGCUGUGUAGCUGCAAAGCGUUAUGAGUAGCGAGAUUCGAAUAAACUAUCCACCUCCCGCUCAUCAUGAUAUGACGUCAGUUUGUUUUAGUUUGUCCCUCUCCGUUCAUUAAAAUGAUCAGAGAUGCCAGAUGGGCAAACGUUUUUAUUUUGACGAUAUAAAAUCGUUUGUUAGUUCUUUUUAUUCUUCAUACAGCGCUAUACAAAAUAAUAGACUUUAUUAUAUCAAACACUGUUUGUAACACACGUCUUAAGUUGUGAUGAUGUGAUGUUCACAAUCAUUGUUACUCCAAGCUACCGCCACAAAAUAGCAGAUCACAAUUUUCCCAGAAAUGCCCAAAUGGUACGGCUUGACUUGUAGAACAUAGUACAAUGCACAAUGGUCCAGGAGAUGCAUUUAAGUGGAAAUAAGCAUUUAGAGCUCGACAGUCAAGACAGACAGACAAAAACUGUCUUAGACAAAGUUGUUACUCAUGAUAGAGCGCUCGCUUUUAUGUUGUCAAAAAUAGGGUGACCAAAAUUUUCGAUGAAAUAAAAAAUCUACCUUUCUUAUUUUUAUAGAUAGAGGUAAACAUAGUUCAACAAUGUUGUAGCUCCAAUUAUUUGAGACAUCUUUGUAGAACGAAGUUUUUCUCUAUCUCUUGAAAUAAGUUCAUAGCACCUUUUUUCUAAGUUACGUUAGGGUCACCAUAAAAAAAAACUGUUUUUUGAUCUAACUUUUAUGUUUCAAAAUUUACAUGGAAACUGUAAUCGAAAGACUUUUAGAGCUUACUAAUACAAACAUUUCUCGAUGCAGAACUUGUCAAUAACUUUACUCAAAAUUGUUGAUAUUUCUUCCCAAAAAACAUGCUCUUUUCAUUUGUUUGUCAUUCUUUCUGGAGCAAACGUAAACAAAGUUUAUUGGCGGCAAUUGAAAGAGCAUAUUUUACUCUACAUGAUGUGUGAUUUUCAAAACUAUGUUAUUUUUUCUGUUUGAGUAAAUAGAAAUUGAAAUCAUGAGUUUUUGGGGAAAAAACCAUCAAUAACUUUGAGUAGGAUUAAGAUAUAGACAUGUUCUGCAUCGCAAAAUGUUGGUAUCAAAAAGCUCUAAAAGUCGUACAAAGACAGUUUUGAUGUAGAAUUUGAAAUAUAGGGCCUUAUUAUAGAAAUCGAGGCGAUAAGAAUUUUGCUCGUUAGCUCUAUUUUACUAUUAUAGAAUUUUUUUUUUAUUUCAAGUUGUUUGGUUCGUUUGUUGCAUAUCUUCAGAUUAGCGGUGGGCAGAACGGUUCAUUUCAGUAAGCGGCUCAGAACCGCUCGUUCAUUGAAACGAUCCGGCUCAUUUGAGCGACUCUUUUUUAAACCGCGACUCUUUUUGAGCCGAGACUCUUUCAAACCGCGCCUCUUUUUUAAGCUGAGACUCUUUCCAGAAGCGACUCUUUUUUUAACUGCGGCUUUUUUUAGCCGAUACUUUUUCGAAGAGCGGCUAUUUUUUGAACCACGGCUUUUUUUGAGCUGGGACUCUUUUCAAAAGCGGCUCUUUUUUGAACCGUGGUUCAUUUAUAGAGAGCCGUGGAUCAUACGCUCGCUCUGACGAACCGGCUCAAAAGAGCGGUUCGUGAGUGCUCGCCCAUCUCUACUUCAGAUAAUUAUUUUGUUUUGGUUUGAGUCCUUGAUAUUUUCCUUUGGGAAACAUUUCAGAAACGCUUAAAUAUAUAAAUAUAUAAAAAAAUUUCAACACAUGUUCGUUCGUUUUGAUCAGUAUUUGUUUUACGGUGCUGCCAGAAUAGUCUAUACAGGGAAACUUCGAUAUAACGUACCCUCGUUAUAAUGUACCCUCGAUAUAACGUCACUCGAUAUACAUUUUACUUCGAUAUAACGUACACAUUUCCAAAGUGUAAAGGAAAAAAAAUUUAAUAUUUUUUUUCCUGAUAGAACAAUGAACUAUCUGUAUUGUGAUGCUAAAUCGAGUUUUGUACCUUCAAUCAAUCCUGAAAUACAGUUGGUUUUGUGAUUCCGGAUUCUAAAUGAAUCAAGUUUUAAUCAACAGUACGAAGGCAAACAUCAUGAGAAAGGCUGACUUCGUUUUCUUAUUGAAGUUAUCCAUUAACUUUACUAAAACAGCAACACAAUAAUGUAUUAUAAACUACGUUUGUGAGUACUUUAUUAUGCUUCGAUAUAACGUACAAUUCGAUACACCGUACAAUUUUGAAAGUGAAAUGUACGUUAUAUCGAAGUUUACCUGUACAAGGUAAGUGUUCAAUCCUGCAUUAUUUAUAUUAAUCAUGUUAUAAUUUAGAAUGCAGUACUUACUUCCAGAGCAUAUUUCAGUGGCUAAAAAUGAGUGGACAGACAAAUCACCACCAGUUUGAACGACUCGUUGAACCAAUGAAAGCGAAUGUAAACAUUGCUCGAGGUAUUUGUGGAGGCAAUUCAAAUAGAAUCCCUGUUAAGGAAAAGUGGAAGGAUUUUAUUGAGGAGCUUAAUGCACUGACAUCAUCAAUGUGUCUUGGUUCAGAAUGGUAGAAAAUUUAGAUUGACUUGAGGUGAAAGGUAAAGAAAACGCUAGCACACAACAAGCGAGAAUUUAGAGCCACAGGUGGUGGCCCAAUACAAUAAAGCUAUUGACGCCGCUACAACAAGAAAUCGACGCUAAAAGAGAAUCACAUGCAAGAAAAAAAUUGUCAAGAAAAGUGGGAUUCAUGCGUGACUCCUUACGGAAUUCCAUAGAUUGCAGUUGUAAAAAUACAUGAAAAAGUUCAUUUUCUAAUAAUUAUA